rfam:Rhizobiales bacterium TMED162 4795, whole genome shotgun sequence.
GAGGAACUGCCCGACGCGAAGACUGCUUUUAACGCUCGGGGCCUUACGGUCCUUUAGGGAGCUGUCACUGAGGCGGGUUGCGGCCUGCUCCAUACGGUGCCCACCUACUUUUGUAGGUCUCCGAGGACACGGCAGAAAACGGUUGUGGCGGUUCCACU